rnacentral:rRNA from 1 species
ACAGAGGGGGCAAGCGUUGUUCGGAAUUACUGGGCGUAAAGGGCGCGUAGGCGGCCUUCUAAGUCGAACGUGAAAUCCCCGGGCUCAACCUGGGAACUGCGUCGGAUACUGGAUGGCUUGAAUUCGGGAGAGGGAUGCAGAAUUCCAGGUGUAGCGGUGAAAUGCGUAGAUAUCUGGAGGAACACCGGUGGCGAAGGCGGCUUUCUGGACAAAUACCGACGCUGAGGCACGAAAGCUAGGGGAGCAAACAGGA